rnacentral:rRNA from 1 species
AUGGCGGACCGCGGCGGCGAGCGUGGUGGCGACCGCGGAGGCGAGCGCGGCGGGUUCGGCCGCGGCUUCGGGCGCGGCGGGCGCGGGGACCGUGGCGGGCGCCGCGGCGGUCGUCGUGGCCCCCGCCAGGAGGAGGAGAAGUGGGUGCCCGUCACCAAGCUCGGCCGCCUCGUCAAGGAGGGCCGCUUCACCAAGAUGGAGGAGCUCUACCUCCACUCGCUCCCCAUCAAGGAGCACCAGAUCGUGGAGCAGCUCUGCCCGGGGCUCAAGGACGAGGUGAUGAAGAUCACCCCCGUGCAGAAGCAGACCCGCGCCGGCCAGCGGACCCGCUUCAAGGCGUUCGUCGUCGUCGGCGACAGCAACGGCCACGUCGGGCUCGGCGUCAAGUGCGCCAAGGAGGUGGCCACGGCCAUCCGCGGCGCCAUCAUCCUCGCCAAGCUCUCCAUCGUGCCCGUCAGGAGGGGCUACUGGGGGAACAAGAUCGGCCUGCCCCACACCGUGCCCUGCAAGGUCACCGGCAAGUGCGGCUCUGUCACCGUGCGCAUGGUGCCCGCCCCGAGGGGUUCCGGGAUCGUCGCCGCGCGCGUCCCCAAGAAGGUGCUCCAGUUCGCUGGUAUUGAUGAUGUCUUCACUUCCUCGCGUGGAUCCACCAAGACCCUUGGCAACUUCGUCAAGGCAACCUUCGACUGCCUGAUGAAGACCUAUGGAUUCCUCACCCCUGACUUCUGGAGGGAGACGACCUUCACCAAGGCGCCAUACCAGGAGUUCACCGACAUUUUGGUGAAGCCGACCAAGGCCCUGAUGCUUGAUGCACCAGCCGAGAAGAUCGAAGCUUAG